rnacentral:rRNA from 1 species
AACGAACGCUGGCGGCAGGCUUAACACAUGCAAGUCGAACGCCCCGCAAGGGGAGUGGCAGACGGGUGAGUAACGCGUGGGAACAUACCCUUUUCUACGGAAUAGCUCUGGGAAACUGGAAUUAAUACCGUAUACGCCCUACGGGGGAAAGAUUUAUCGGGGAAGGAUUGGCCCGCGUUGGAUUAGCUAGUUGGUGGGGUAAAGGCCUACCAAGGCGACGAUCCAUAGCUGGUCUGAGAGGAUGAUCAGCCACAUUGGGACUGAGACGCGGCCCAAACUCCUACGGGAGGCAGCAGUGGGGAAUAUUGGACAAUGGGCGCAAGCCUGAUCCAGUCAUGCCGCGUGAGUGAUGAAGGCCUUAGGGUUGUAAAGCUCUUUCACCGAUGAAGAUAAUGACGGUAGUCGGAGAAGAAGCCCCGGCUAACUUCGUGCCAGCAGCCGCCGUAAAAC